GACGAACGCUGGCGGCGUGCUUAACACAUGCAAGUCGAACGGUGAAGCGCCUUCCUUUUUGGUGGGUGUGGAUGAGUGGCGAACGGGUGAGUAACACGUGAGUAACCUGCCCCCUUCUUCUGGAUAACCGCAUGAAAGUGUGGCUAAUACGGGAUAUUCUGGGUCUGUCGCAUGAUGGGUCUGGGAAAGAUAUUGUUUCGGUUGGGGAUGGGCUCGCGGCCUAUCAGCUUGUUGGUGGGGUGAUGGCCUACCAAGGCGGUGACGGGUAGCCGGCCUGAGAGGGUGGACGGUCACACUGGGACUGAGACACGGCCCAGACUCCUACGGGAGGCAGCAGUGGGGAAUAUUGCACAAUGGGCGCAAGGCUGAUGCAGCGACGCCGCGGGAGGGAUGGAGGCCUUCGGGUUGUGAACCUCUUUCGCCAGUGAAGCAGGCCUGCCUCGUUUGUGGGUGGGUUGACGGUAGCUGGAUAAGAAGCGCCGGCUAACUACGUG
rnacentral:rRNA from 1 species